GGGUAUAUGUCUUCGGAUAUAGAGACCGGCGCACGGGUGCGUAACGCGUAUGCAAUCUACCUUUUACAGGGGAAUAGCCCAGAGAAAUUUGGAUUAAUGCCCCAUAGUAUAAUUGAAUGGCAUCAUUUAAUUAUUAAAGUCACAACGGUAAAAGAUGAGCAUGCGUCCCAUUAGUUAGUUGGUAAGGUAACGGCUUACCAAGACAAUGAUGGGUAGGGGUCCUGAGAGGGAGAUCCCCCACACUGGUACUGAGACACGGACCAGACUCCUACGGGAGGCAGCAGUGAGGAAUAUUGGACAAUGGGCGCAAGCCUGAUCCAGCCAUGCCGCGUGCAGGAAGACGGUCCUAUGGAUUGUAAACUGCUUUUAUACAGGAAGAAACACUCCGACGUGUCGGAGCUUGACGGUACUGUAGGAAUAAGGAUCGGCUAACUCCGUGCCAGCAGCCGCGGUAAUACGGAGGAUCCAAGCGUUAUCCGGAAUCAUUGGGUUUAAAGGGUCCGUAGGCGGUUUAAUAAGUCAGUGGUGAAAUCUGGUCGCUCAACGAUCAAACGGCCAUUGAUACUGUUAGACUUGAAUUAUAAGGAAGUAACUAGAAUAUGUAGUGUAGCGGUGAAAUGCUUAGAUAUUACAUGGAAUACCAAUUGCGAAGGCAGGUUACUACUUAUGGAUUGACGCUGAUGGACGAAAGCGUGGGGAGCGAACAGGAUUAGAUACCCUGGUAGUCCACGCCGUAAACGAUGGAUACUAGCUGUUGGAAGCAAUUUCAGUGGCUAAGCGAAAGUGAUAAGUAUCCCACCUG
rnacentral:rRNA from 1 species